ACUAACAGGAUUCCCUAGUAACUGCGAGUGAAGCGGGAAAAGCUCAAAUUUAAAAUCUGGCGGUCCCUGGCCGUCCGAGUUGUAAUCUAGAGAAGUAAUGCCCGCGCUGGACCGUGUACAAGUCUCCUGGGAUGGAGCGUCAUAGAGGGUGAGAAUCCCGUCUCUGACACGGACUACCAGGGCUUUGUGGUAUGCUCUCAAAGAGUCGAGUUGUUUGGGAAUGCAGCUCAAAAUGGGUGGUAAAUUCCAUCUAAAGCUAAAUAUUGGCGAGAGACCGAUAGCGAACAAGUACCGUGAGGGAAAGAUGAAAAGAACUUUGGAAAGAGAGUUAAACAGUACGUGAAAUUGCUGAAAGGGAAACGCUUGAAGUCAGUCGCGUUGGCCAGGAAUCAGCCUCACUUUUGUGUGGUGUACUUUCUGGUUGAUGGGUCAGCAUCAAUUUUGACCACUGGAAAAAGGCUUGGGGAAUGUGGCAGCUCCGGCUGUGUUAUAGCCCCUGGUCGCAUACAGUGGUUGGGAUUGAGGAACUCAGCACGCCGCAAGGCCGGGUUUCGACCACGUUCGUGCUUAGGAUGCUGGCAUAAUGGCUUUAAGCGACCCGUCUUGAAACACGGACCAAGGAGUCUAACAUGCCUGCGAGUAUUUGGGUGGAAAACCCGAGUGCGUAAUGAAAGUGAAAGUUGAGAUCCCUGUCGUGGGGAGCAUCGACGCCCGGACCAGAACUUUUGGGACGGAUCCGCGGUAGAGCAUGUAUGUUGGGACCCGAAAGAUGGUGAACUAUGCCUGAAUAGGGUGAAGCCAGAGGAAACUCUGGUGGAGGCUCGUAGCGAUUCUGACGUGCAAAUCGAUCGUCAAAUUUGGGUAUAGGGGCGAAAGACUAAUCGAACCAUCUA
rnacentral:rRNA from 1 species